UACGUAGGGCGCAAGCGUUGUCCGGAAUUAUUGGGCGUAAAGAGUGUGUAGGCGGUGCUCCCAGUCUGUUGUGAAAUCUCCCGGCUUAACUGGGAGGGUGCAGUGGAAACUAGAGUGCUAGAGGGUGGGAGAGGUAAGCGGAAUUCCUGGUGUAGCGGUGAAAUGCGUAGAUAUCGUGAGGAACACCAGAGGCGAAGGCGGCUACCUGGACAAUUGCUGACGCUCAGGCACGAAAGCGUGGGGAGCAAAAGGG
rnacentral:rRNA from 1 species